rnacentral:rRNA from 1 species
CCGGCACGGGUGAGUAACACGUAUCCAACCUGCCGUCUACUCUUGGACAGCCUUCUGAAAGGAAGAUUAAUACAAGAUGGCAUCAUGAGUCCGCAUGUUCACAUGAUUAAAGGUAUUCCGGUAGACGAUGGGGAUGCGUUCCAUUAGAUAGUAGGGCGGGGUAACGGCCCACCUAGUCUUCGAUGGAUAGGGGUUCUGAGAGGAAGGUCCCCCACAUUGGAACUGAGACACGGUCCAAACUCCUACGGAAGGCAGCAG